rnacentral:lncRNA from 1 species
CAUUUUUUUUUUUUCCUAUCAAAGGCAGAGAAUUCAUUAAUAGAAAGCAAGUUACAAAUAUACGGCCCAAGGCGCAAUAAUAUAAAACUCUCAACUGAUACACUCCAACCCCAUAAAUUAAAGAGCCCAAACAAGCCCAAACUAGAAAACCCUAGGCUACUGAAGCUCUUCGAGAAGAUCCGGUCAUCGCUUUGUGCAGCGCCAUAGCCAUUUUCUGGACAUCAGGUGAAAGAAACAGAAGAUCAAUUUCAGAAAAACAAAUGACAAAGACUUUUGACUCUACAACAAUCUUAAAGGAUCGUCAUCUCACGCUCAAAGUCUACUCAAACAGGAGGAAGGAGAUAACAACAUCAGAAAACUCAACGGUGGCUUGACAGUACUCAUCGUUAUUAUUUGAAAGACCAGAUAAACCAUAAAACAACAGGUACCAUGAGCGUCUCCUGAGAUGUCAAAGCCUAACCAUGAUCCAUGAGCUCAACUUGCAAAAGAACUAAAAAAACAAACAACAAUAAUAUAAGAUAAAAGCAUAUCCAAUGGACCAAUAAUAUACAAAACCUCCACCAUGCAAGGUGGAAUCGCUCGCCCAAAUCAACAAAACUCAUGUCCGAGAAAAAUGUAAUGAUGAAAAAG